rnacentral:rRNA from 1 species
UACGUAGGGGGCAAGCGUUGUCCGGAAUCAUUGGGCGUAAAGAGCGCGUAGGCGGCCCAGUAAGUCCGCUCUGAAAGUCGGGGGCUCAACCCUCGAAUGCCGGUGGAUACUGUCGGGCUAGAGUGCGGAAGAGGCGAGUGGAAUUCCUGGUGUAGCGGUGAAAUGCGCAGAUAUCAGGAGGAACACCUAUUGCGAAGGCAGCUCGCUGGGACGUAACUGACGCUGAGACGCGAAAGCGUGGGGAGCGAACAGG